rnacentral:rRNA from 1 species
AUUGAACGCUGGCGGCAUGCUUUACACAUGCAAGUCGAACGGCAGCACGGGCUUCGGCCUGGUGGCGAGUGGCGAACGGGUGAGUAAUAUAUCGGAACGUACCCAGAAGUGGGGGAUAACGUAGCGAAAGUUACGCUAAUACCGCAUACGAUCUAUGGAUGAAAGCAGGGGACCGCAAGGCCUUGUGCUCCUGGAGCGUCCGAUAUCUGAUUAGCUAGUUGGUGAGGUAAAGGCUCACCAAGGCGACGAUCAGUAGCUGGUCUGAGAGGACGACCAGCCACACUGGAACUGAGACACGGUCCAGACUCCUACGGGAGGCAGCAGUGGGGAAUUUUGGACAAUGGGCGCAAGCCUGAUCCAGCAAUGCCGCGUGAGUGAAGAAGGCCUUCGGGUUGUAAAGCUCUUUUGUCAGGGAAGAAACGGUAGAGGCUAAUAUCCUUUGCUAAUGACGGUACCUGAAGAAUAAGCACCGGCUAACUACGUG